ACACAUAAUGUUAAUUUCAUUACGUGAUGAAGGCUGCGUUGACCAAAAUAAAAGGGUCAAUUUAAGCAGCAGAGUAACCGGAAUAAAAAACAGCAACACCAGAUGUUAUGAUGAUAAGUUUGGUGAUGAUCUACUGCGUGCAGCUUGCAGCUAGGCAGUCUGGAACCGUGUCACAACCAAGGAACACCGAGUCCUUGCUGUACGUGAAUACCUACGAAGUCACGUAGGGGUGGCCUCAGCGUGUUCCAUAUGAAGCUGGCUGUGAAUCGGAACGAGUGGCGAAACAAAGCGGUUUUGUGCUUCGGAGUGACCAUAAGA